UACGUAGGGGGCAAGCGUUGUCCGGAAUCAUUGGGCGUAAAGCGCGUGUAGGCGGCCCAGUAAGUCCGCUCUGAAAGCCCGGGGCUCAACCCCGGGAGGCGGGUGGAUACUGCUGGGCUAGAGUACGGAAGAGGCGAGUGGAAUUCCCGGUGUAGCGGUGAAAUGCGCAGAUAUCGGGAGGAACACCAAUGGCGAAGGCAGCUCGCUGGGACGUUACUGACGCUGAGACGCGAAGCGUGGGGAGCAAACAGG
rnacentral:rRNA from 1 species